rnacentral:rRNA from 1 species
AUUCCUACGGGAGGCAGCAGGGGGGAAUAUUGCACAAUGGGGGAAACCCUGAUGCAGCCAUGCCGCGUGUGUGAAGAAGGCCUUCGGGUUGUAAAGCACUUUCAGCGAGGAGGAAAGGUUGGUAGCUAAUAACUGCCAGCUGUGACGUUACUCGCAGAAGAAGCACCGGCUAACUCCGUGCCAGCAGCCGCGGUAAUAAU